AUUUAAAAUGUAAUUAUAAAUAUUAAAGUAGUAUUAGUUAUGUUCUUGAAACUUAAAAAAUUUGGCGGUAUUUUAGUCUAUUCAGAGGAACCUGUUCUAUAAUCGAUAAUCCACGAUGGACCUUACUUAAAUUUGUCAUUCAGUUUAUAUACCGUCGUUAUUAGAAUAUUUUAUAAGAAAAAUAAUUUUCAUAAAAUUUUAUUAAAUCAUAUAUCAGAUCAAGGUGUAGCUUAUGUUUAAGAAGAAAUGGGUUACAAUAAAAUUAUUUAUACGAAUAUAGAUAUGAAAAAUCUAUUGAAGGUGGAUUUGAUAGUAAAAUUAUAAAGAUUAAUAAUUUGAUUUUAGCUCUAAAAUAUGU
rnacentral:rRNA from 1 species